rfam:Caprimulgus carolinensis contig9376, whole genome shotgun sequence.
GCAUCUAAAACUUUCCUGCUCUUUGCCAUGUAGUGCUGGACUGGGGAUACCUGAUGCAACAGGAAAGCAAAGGAAAUCCAGACGAGCUCCCUCUCACCACAGUGGGACUUGUCUCUACACCUUUGCAACAUGU